rnacentral:lncRNA from 1 species
UUCUCUUCCAUCUACAUUGAUUGAAUUACAUGGUUUGUUCUUCUCCUAGCUGUAAUGGUCCGCGGCGUCCAGGCCCAGCCUCCUCGGUUGCGUGGGGCUGUGGUUGGUCUGCGUGCUUCUGCUGGAGCAGUCCCCGCCGUCCAGGUCGGCCUCCUGCUAUACGUGAUGCUGUUGUUGGGCGUCGUGGUGGCUGCGGUGUUGUGCGGGGCCGUUCUGCAUUCAUGGCGGAUGUCGUCGCCGUUGUCGUUGCUGGGAUCGAUGCCUUCAGCCAUCGAGGAGGACUGUUGCGACAACUGCGGCUUUUCUCAUGGUGGUCUCAGAGAUGGCGAUCAUGUCCUUGCACCGGCGGAGGCCGUAGCCCGAGAGGGACGACCAGAGAGACCCGGCCUUGGAGCGAACUGCCACGAGCUCCUUUGAGUUUGCCCAAUAUUGUGUGAGCGCCGCGGCCAGAAUUUGAGGUGCGUGUUAACUCUUCCUCCUCAACUCGAGAGCUCCGCGGGAAGCAUCUCACUGUCUGCUGCGUGCGCGAAGUAGUCCUGUUUUCUCUCUUUGCCAUGCAGAAUAAUGGUGGUAGCAGUAGCUGCCUGGUCUAUUGCUACCCGCAAACUUUUGUGCUAGCUGCUCAUUUAGCCCUUAGCUUGAUGUUUUCCAGUUCAGGGUUUGUACAUUGGAUGAUCUUGUAGUAGUUAACAACUAAGGAGAGUCUUUAACGCCCAGGGAAAGUAUCAGGUGAUACGGAGCCUUAGAUGCUCCCAUGAUACGAGCUCAUAGGAGUCGUUGGAUCUCAGAUCCAACAGUUCCGGGAGGCUUUGAACAUUUUUGCAAAAAAGACCUUUUGAAGUCUAAAAAUUGCGAACAAGUAUUGUAGCCUUCAAAACCACCUAGGAGCCGUUGGAU